rnacentral:rRNA from 1 species
UGGGGAAUCUUCCGCAAUGGACGAAAGUCUGACGGAGCAACGCCGCGUGAGUGAAGAAGGCCUUCGGGUUGUAAAGCUCUGUCUUUGGGGACGAAUGUGUUUAUGGUAAAUAAUCAUAGAUAAUGACGGUACCCGAGGAGGAAGCCACGGCUAACUACGUGCCAGCAGCCGCGGUAAUACGUAGGUGGCAAGCGUUGUCCGGAAUUAUUGGGCGUAAAGCGCGCGCAGGCGGGAACUUAAGUCUAUCUUAAAAGUUCGGGGCUCAACCCCGUGAUGGGGUAGAAACUGGGUUUCUUGAGUAUCGGAGAGGAAAGUGGAAUUCCCAGUGUAGCGGUGAAAUGCGUAGAUAUUGGGAGGAACACCAGUGGCGAAGGCGACUUUCUGGACGAUGUCUGACGCUGAGGCGCGAAAGCCAGGGAAGUGAACG